GGGGAUUUAGCUCAGUGGUGUAAGCGCCUGCCUUGUAAGCAGGCAUGAGUUCCAUUCCCG
rnacentral:tRNA from 1 species